AGUGCAUUAGUUCAGUGGUUAGAACGCUACACUGUCGUUGUAGAGGUCACAAGUUCGAUUCUUGUAUGCAUUG
rnacentral:tRNA from 1 species